rnacentral:rRNA from 1 species
GAUGAACGCUGGCGGCGUGCCUAAUACAUGCAAGUCGAGCGAACAGACGAGGAGCUUGCUCCUCUGCCGUUAGCGGCGGACGGGUGAGUAACACGUGCAUAACCUACUUCUAUUACUGGGAUAACUACGGGAAACAGCAUCUAAUACCACCUAAUAUAUUGAACGGCUUGGUUCAAUAGUGCUUCACGCUUUUCCUGUCACUAUUAGCUGGAGCCGCGGCGGAUUAGCUAGUUGGUAAGGUAACGGCUUACCAAGGAAACGAUGCGUAGCUGACCUGAGAGGAUGAUCAGCCACACUGGAACUGAGACACGGUCCAGACUCCUACGGGAGGCAGCAGUGGGGAAUCUUGGACAAUGGGCGAAAGCCUGACCGAGCAACGCCGCGUGAGUGAAGAAGGUCUUCGGAUCGUAAAGCUCUGUUAUUAGGGAAGAACAAAUGUGGAAGUAACUAUGCACGUCUUGACGGUACCUAAACAGUAAGCAACGGCUAACUACGUG